GUGGCAUGCUGUCUCAGAUUAGCCAUGCAUGUGUAAGUAUAAGCGAUUGUACUGUGAGACUGCGAACGGCUCAUUAUAUCAGUAAUAAUUUCUUCGGUAGUUUCUUUUAUAUGGAUACCUGCAGUAAUUCUGGAAAUAAUACAUGCUGUAAGAGCCCUGUAUGGGGCUGCACUUAUUAGAUUGAAGCCGAUUUUAUUGGUGAAUCAUGAUAAUUGAGCAGAUUGACUUUUUUGGUCAAUGAAUCGUUUGAGUUUCUGCCCCAUCAGUUGUCGACGGUAGUGUAUUGGACUACGGUGACUAUAACGGGGGACGGAAAGUUAGGGCUCGACUCCGGAAAGGGAGCCUGAAAAACGGCUACCAUAUCCAAGGAUAGCACCAGGCGCGUAAAUUACCCACUGGGGACUCCACGAGGUAGUGACAAAAAAUAUCGAUGCGAACCGGGUAUGCGUUUUGCUAUCGGAAUGAAAGCAAUGUAAAACCCUCAUCGAGGAUCAACUGGAGGGCAAGUCUGGUGCCAGCAGCCGCGGUAAUUCCAGCUCCAAAAGCAUAUGCUAAAGUUGUUGCAGUUAAAAGUCAGCUGCGUAGCCGAAUACCUGGACAUGCAUGGCGUACCGGUGCUUUCAAUGAAUCGCGAUUGACGGCCUCGAUGGAAUGCCUUGGCCAUGCAUUUUCUUUCCUUUACGGGGAAGAAAUCUUUCACUGUAAUCAAAGCAAAGUGUUCCAAGCAGGUCGAAUGACCGGUAUGUUUAUUAUGAGAUGAAAAAAAUAGGACUUGGGUGCUAUUAUGUUGGUUUGCACAGCCUGAGUAAUGGUAAAUAGGAACAGUUGGGGGUAUUCGUAUUUAGGAGCUUAGAGGUGAAAAUUCUUGGAAUUUCCGAAAAAACAAACUAAGAGCGAAGGCAUUUACCAAGCCAUGUUUUCAAUUAUACAAGAAACGAAAGUCUGGGAACCGAAGAUGAAGUUAGAUACCAUCGUAGUCUAGACCGUAAACCGAUGCCGACUGGCGAUUGUUGGGGGCUUUUUAAUGGCCCUCACGCACGCAGGCAUGAGAAAACAAAGCUUCUUUGGGUUCCGGGGGAGUAUUGUGCAAAGGUGAAAUUAAGGGAAUGGCGGAAAGGCCCCCCCCGGGUGGGGCCUGCGGGUUAAAUUGAGUCUACACCGGAAAAAUUUCCCCGGCCCGAAACAGGGUGGGAUUGCCGAAUUGGAGGUUUUUCCAGGUUUUUUGGGGGGGGGGGCCAGGCCCUUUUUUAUUUGGGGGGGGAAUUUUUUGGGUAAAUUCCUUUAAGAAAGGGACCUUGGCCUUUUAAAAAAGGGGGGGGUUGGGAAAAUAAUUCGUUUUUAAUUUUUUGAGGGGCACUUUCCGGUUUACGGGCCGGAAAUUGGGGGCAAAAACCGGUUUUGGAUGCCCUUGAAUUUUUUGGGCCCCCCCCCGCUUCCCAGGAGGGGUUCUUCGGGUUUUAAUUUUAAUUUUUGGAAUUGAGUGCUUGGUCGGAAGGCCUGGCUAAUCCUUGGAACGCUCAUCGUGCUGGGGCUAGAUUUUUGCAAUUAUUAAUCUCCAACGAGGAAUUCCUAGUAAACGCAAGUCAUCAGCUUGCAUUGAAUACGUCCCUGCCCUUUGUACACACCGCCCGUCGCACCUACCGAUUGAACGGUCCGAUGAAACCAUGGGAUGUUUCUGUUUGGAUUAAUUUUUGGACAGAGGCAGAACUCGGGUGAAUCAUAUGUAGAGAACAUA
rnacentral:rRNA from 1 species